rnacentral:rRNA from 1 species
GAAUUCAGUGAAUCAUCGAAUCUUUGAACGCAUCUUGCGCUUCUUGGUAUUCCAAGAAGCAUGCCUGUUUGAGUGUCAUUA